rnacentral:rRNA from 1 species
UACAGAGGGGGCAAGCGUUUAUUCGGAAUUAUUGGGCGUAAAGGGCGCGUAGGCGGCCUGGCAAGUGGAAGGUGAAAUCCCUCGGCUUAACCGAGGAACUGCCCUCCAAACUGCUUGGCUUGAGACCGGGAGAGGUGAGUGGAAUUCCCAGUGUAGCGGUGAAAUGCGUAGAUAUUGGGAGGAACACCAGUGGCGAAGGCGGCUCACU